rnacentral:rRNA from 1 species
GAACGCGAAGAACCUUACCAGGUCUUGACAUCCACUCUGACCUCUCUAGAGAUAGAGAUUUCACUUCGGGACAGAGGUGACAGGUGGUGCAUGGUUGUCGUCAGCUCGUGUCGUGAGAUGUUGGGUUAAGUCCCGCAACGAGCGCAACCCCUAUUGUUAGUUGCCAUCAUUCAGUUGGGCACUCUAGCGAGACUGCCGGUAAUAAACCGGAGGAAGGUGGGGAUGACGUCAAAUCAUCAUGCCCCUUAUGACCUGGGCUACACACGUGCUACAAUGGCUGGUACAACGAGUCGCAAGCCGGUGACGGCAAGCUAAUCUCUUAAAGCCAGUCUCAGUUCGGAUUGUAGGCUGCAACUCGCAUACAUGAAGUCGGAAUCGCUAGUAAUCGCGGAUCAGCACGCCGCGGUGAAUACGUUCCCGGGUCUUGUACACACC